CCUACGGGCGGCAGCAGUGAGGAAUAUUGGUCAAUGGCCGUAAGGCUGAACCAGCCAAGUCGCGUGAAGGAAGAAGGAUCUAUGGUUUGUAAACUUUUUUUAUAGGGGAAUAAAGGUAGCCAAGUGUGGAUAGUUGCAGGUACCCUAUGAAUAAGCAUCGGCUAACUCCGUGCCAGCAGCCGAGGUAAUACGGAGGAUGCGAGCGUUAUCCGGAUUUAUUGGGUUUAAAGGGGGCGUAGGUUGUUGUUUAAGUAAGCGGUGAAAGUUUGUGGCUCCACCAUAAAAUUGCCGUUGAAACUGGCAGACUUGCUUUUGUUUGCGGUAGUCGGCAUGCGUGGUGUAGCGGU
rnacentral:rRNA from 1 species